rnacentral:misc_RNA from 1 species
GAGGCAAAAUCGGGUGGUUGAGAGAUCUCGAGCGUUCUUCUCCAGCCUUCGACAACAACACGAACCUACUAACUUAAGAUUCACCGGAGAUGGACUACAGCAGUGAAGAAGAGUCGGAUUUUAGUGACUCAGAGAUCAAUGACUACGCUGAGAAACCAUAUGAACAGCUGAGGACUGGAAGGCUUGUUGUAAAAACAGCAAAUGGAAUUCUUAGAUGCCCGUUCUGUAUGGGCAAGAAGAAAC